rnacentral:rRNA from 1 species
UACGGGGGGGGCAAGCGUUGUUCGGAAUUACUGGGCGUAAAGGGCGCGUAGGCGGCCUUCUAAGUCGGACGUGAAAUCCCUCGGCUUAACCGAGGAACUGCGUCCGAUACUGAAAGGCUUGAAUCCGGGAGAGGGAUGUGGAAUUCCAGGUGUAGCGGUGAAAUGCGCAGAUAUCAGGAGGAACACCGAUGGCGAAGGCAGGUCUCUGGGCCACUACUGACGCUGAGAAGCGAAAGCAUGGGGAGCGAACAGG